rnacentral:rRNA from 1 species
GACAGAGGGUGCAAACGUUGUUCGGAAUUACUGGGCGUAAAGCGCGUGUAGGCAGCUCGGAAAGUCGGGUGUGAAAGCCCUGGGCUUAACCUAGGAAGUGCACUCGAAACUUCCGAGCUUGAGUUCUGGAGAGGAAGGCGGAAUUCUCGGUGUAGAGGUGAAAUUCGUAGAUAUCGAGAGGAACACCGGUGGCGAAGGCGGCCUUCUGGACAGUGACUGACGCUGAGACGCGAAAGCGUGGGGAGCAAACAGG